GGGCGAGUGGCGGAACUGGCAGACGCACUAGCUUCAGGAGCUAGCGGGCGCAAGCUCUUAAGGGUUCGACUCCCUUCUCGCCCACCA
rnacentral:tRNA from 1 species